rnacentral:rRNA from 1 species
UACGUAGGGGGCAAGCGUUGUCCGGAUUCAUUGGGCGUAAAGAGCGUGUAGGCGGCCAGGUAGGUCGGUUGUGAAAACUGGAGGCUCAACCUUCAGAGGUCGACCGAAACCAUCUGGCUAGAGUCCGGGAGAGGAGAGUGGAAUUCCUGGUGUAGCGGUGAAAUGCGCAGAUAUCAGGAGGAACACCUAUGGCGAAGGCAGCUCGCUGGGACGGUACUGACGCUGAGACGCGAAAGCGUGGGGAGCGAACAGG